rnacentral:rRNA from 1 species
UACGUAGGGUGCAAGCGUUAAUCGGAAUUACUGGGCGUAAAGCGUGCGUAGGCGGUCCGCAAAGUCUGAUGUGAAAGCCCCGGGCUCAACCUGGGAACUGCAUUGGAAACUAACGGGCUCGAGUGUGGCAGAGGGGGGUGGAAUUCCACGUGUAGCAGUGAAAUGCGUAGAGAUGUGGAGGAACACCGAUGGCGAAGGCAGCCCCCUGGGCUAACACUGACGCUCAGGCACGAAAGCGUGGGGAGCAAACAGG